rnacentral:pre_miRNA from 1 species
GAAAACUUGAAAACUACCGUUGGAUCGAGAAAUGGACAUCCGAGAUUCGUCCACGUCAUCAUGAGUUAAAACUUAACUCGCAGAUUCACUCAUGAGUUAACUCAUGGUGACAUGGACGAAUCUCGGAUGUCCAUUUCUCGAUCCAACGGUAAUUUCUAAGUUUCC